UACAGAGGGUGCAAGCGUUAAUCGGAAUUACUGGGCGUAAAGCGCGCGUAGGUGGUUCGUUAAGUUGGAUGUGAAAUCCCCGGGCUCAACCUGGGAACUGCAUUCAAAACUGUCGAGCUAGAGUAUGGUAGAGGGUGGUGGAAUUUCCUGUGUAGCGGUGAAAUGCGUAGAUAUAGGAAGGAACACCAGUGGCGAAGGCGACCACCUGGACUGACACUGACGCUGAGGUGCGAAAGCGUGGGGAGCGAACGGG
rnacentral:rRNA from 1 species